UCCCCUAGUAACGGCGAGUGAAGAGGGAAGAGCCCAAGAUUGAAAGCUGGCGCCUUCGGCGUCCGCAUUGUAAUCUCAAGAAGUGUUUUCCGCUUCGGACCAUGCCUAAGUCCCUUGGAAAAGGGCAUCAUAGAGGGUGAUAAUCCCGUACAUGGCAUGGAGCGCCCGAAGCUUUGUGAUACGCUUUCUAAGAGUCGAGUUGUUUGGGAAUGCAGCUCAAAAUGGGUGGUAAAUGCCAUCUAAGGCUAAAUAUUGGGGAGAGACCGAUAGCGAACAAGUACAGUGAUGGAAAGAUGAAAAGAACUUUGAAAAGAGAGUUAAACAGUACGUGAAAUUGCCAAAAGGGAAGGGUAGGAGGUCAGAGAUGCGUCGCAGGAUUCAGCCUUGCUUUUGCUUGGUGUUUUUCCUGCGUUGCAGGCCAACGUCGGUUUUGGGCACUGGAGAAGGGUAGGAGGAACGUGGCACCUCUCGGGGUGUGUUAUAGCCUCCUACUGGAUACAGCGACCGAGACCGAGGAACGCAGCGUACUCGUAAGAGCGGGCCUUUUGGCACCUUUACGCUUAGGGCGUUGGCAUAAUGGCCCUCUACCACCCGUCUUGAA
rnacentral:rRNA from 1 species